GAAUAUUAGUCAAUGCUCGAAAGAGUGAACUAGCUAACUGAAAUCAAUUAUAAUAAUUGAUAACAUAAGGGAAAAUAAUGAUAUUACCUUAUUAUUAGUGUCGUCCAAAACUGGUGCCAGAAGACUCGGUAAGGCCAGAGACACAAACGUUAAUCGUCUUAAUCAGGCGUAAAGGGUUUGUAGGCGGCUUUAAAAUUUACUUAAAAAAAUAUUAAGUAAAGAAUAAAAGCUAGAAUCAAAUAGAGGAUAUAUGAAAGAAUGCUUAGAGUAGGUCUGAUAUCCUUAGAUACUAAGUAGAAUAUUAAAGGCGAAAGCUUUUUUCCAUUAAUGAUUGACGCUCAGAAACGAAGGUGAGGAUAGGAAAUAGGAUUAGAUACCCAGAAUACCCCUCUCUGUCAACGAUGAAUGGUAGUUAUUAGUACAAAUUAUUAAUGGCAAUGUUAACACGAUAACCAUUCCGCCUUGUGAGUACAACUGCAAAGUUGAAAACAAAAAAAUUAGUCGGUUUCGGAGCAAACGAAGUGAAGCAUGUUAUUUAAUUC
rnacentral:rRNA from 1 species